rnacentral:rRNA from 1 species
UACGGGGGGGGCAAGCGUUGUUCGGAAUUACUGGGCGUAAAGGGCUCGUAGGCGGCCAACUAAGUCAGACGUGAAAUCCCUCGGCUUAACCGGGGAACUGCAUCUGAUACUGGAUGGCUUGAGAUUGGGAGAGGGAUGCGGAAUUCCAGGUGUAGCGGUGAAAUGCGUAGAUAUCUGGAGGAACACCGGUGGCGAAGGCGGCGAUCUGGGUCGAUACUGACGCUGAGGUGCGAAAGCGUGGGGAGCAAACAGG